rnacentral:misc_RNA from 1 species
GGCUCUGUGCUGGUCCAUCGAACUGUCGACGGCCGAUCCCCUCACCGGAUGUGCUCUCCACCGUUGCCUAUGAUGUGUCCCUUUGUGCCUUGUGCUUGUGUUGCCUGCCCGUUCGUUGGGAGCGAUCCGCAUGAAGAACGGGGCUCCGUCCGACGCCCUCUGGAGGGGUGUCGGAGGACACUGAAGCGCCCCGCGUGUCCCAUCGAGCCGUCAUCGGUCUUUGUGGUCCACGCGGGUGCGCUAUGCUCUCGGACCCAGUGCAUGCCGUGGAGGAGGGGUGUACGCCCCUCCCAGUCCCUGAUUAGAAACGAUCUCCCGUGCGACGGCCGUGCCCUCGCUCCGCUGCCGCUCCGGCGUGCCGCGGGCGGUGCUCGACGUCCUGGAGGACUGCUACCUGGUUGAUCCUGCCAGUAGUCAUAUGCUUGUCU